CACAGAAUUAGGGACCUGUACGCUCACAAUGAGAUGAAUCAGACCUGACGCUCUAUGGAUUUUCUUCCUGCUGUGGUUCCAGAGCAGUCUAACCCAGCAGGAGUGAGUACCUUCCAGCAGGUGACCCAGUACAAAAAAAGUCUAAAGAAAAGCAGUGUUGGUUGCUUGCCUUCCCUUGGUCUGGAGUUCGUGUGUCUGUCUCUGCCGCUACUGUCCUCUUCUGACGUCAGACUCAAGCGUCUUCAGCCUUCUUCCAACACGAACUGAACACUCUCCAGGAAUCCUCCAGACCUUCAGCACCAGACUGGGACUGCCAAGGUGAUCAACUGUGUGGACUAAACAGCAUCUCUAGUAUUGUGUAAGUCAAUCUAACAAAUCCUUCUUUAUAAUCCAUAUUUCGUCUAUUAGUUCUGUCUCUAUCAAGAACUCCAUUUAAUCCAGUUUGUGGCUCCAGUAGCAGAUUCUAGAGAGGCAGAAUUCUAAGGAUGAAUUUCUCUAGUGGACUUGACGGUGUCUGGAGCUGGCUCUCCAAUUCAUCCACACCUAAAACUGCUAAAGACUCGACGGUACUCUGGAAGUGGGGAGAGAGCAUAGCUAUUCCAUCCUGUGAAUUAGAGAACGGUACAGCAUGCGCACAUGCACAUACAUAAAUAAAUAAGUGAAUGUAACUUUAAAAUGAAAAUAAAAGGAAAGAGAAAGGC